rnacentral:rRNA from 1 species
GACGAACGCUGGCGGCGUGCUUAACACAUGCAAGUCGAACGGUAAGGCUCCAGCUUGCUGGGGUACACGAGUGGCGAACGGGUGAGUAACACGUGGGUGACCUGCCCUGCACUUCGGGAUAAGCCUGGGAAACUGGGUCUAAUACCGGAUAGGACCAUGGUCUGGAUACUGUGGUGGAAAGUUUUUUCGGUGUGGGAUGGGCCCGCGGCCUAUCAGCUUGUUGGUGGGGUAAUGGCCUACCAAGGCGGCGACGGGUAGCCGGCCUGAGAGGGUGGGCGGCCACAUUGGGACUGAGACACGGCCCAGACUCCUACGGGAGGCAGCAGUGGGGAAUAUUGCACAAUGGGCGGAAGCCUGAUGCAGCGACGCCGCGUGGGGGAUGACGGCCUUCGGGUUGUAAACUCCUUUCACCAUCGACGAAGGGUUUCUGACGGUAGAUGGAGAAGAAGCACCGGCUAACUACGUG